rnacentral:rRNA from 1 species
GAAAGAUGAAAAGAACUUUGAAAAGAGAGUUAAACAGUACGUGAAAUUGUUGAAAGGGAAACGAUUGAAGCCAGUCGUACCUUCGGGUAAUCAGCCUUUCGGGUGCGAUUCUGUGGAGUUUGAGGAGCUUAACACCUUCAUGCUUUGCAUAUUCGUGCUCUUGGGUGUACUUGCUCGUNUGGUUGGUUAACAUCAAUUUUGGUGGUCAUAAAAUGACUGGAGGAAUGUAGCUUCGAUCUCGUAUUGAAGUGUUAUA